UGACUUGUUGGUUUUUCAGGGGAUGUGCAG
rnacentral:piRNA from 1 species